CCUAUCUUUUCGAUUCUGAAAGUUGAGUAUCCAUUGAGCAUGGUUGAAGCAAUUAGCAAGAAAAAAUUAUUAUCUCUUUGGGAAACAUAACCCAAACAAGGUAGAAGAAGCUUUGCAAUUCACCAUUUUUCGACUAAAUUUCCCCUGCAAGGAAGCUCGAAGCUGAGAUUGAAGUUACAAGGAAGGAGAUAGAAAAACCAACAGAAGUUGAAGUUGACCUCAAUUGAAGGCUUCAUCAAAAGACUGAUCAUUUGAUAUAGAAACAAUCCAAGGUGCAGAGGCAUGGAUUUAUAAGUCCACAAAGAUUUCUGCCAGAUCGUCAGGAAUCUCUACAGAUGAGUAUGAUUGCAUGAGAGACACGAUCACCAACUUAUCUAGCCAAAACGAGCAGCUGAAGCAAAAAUAUGAGAACACACAACAACAAAUGACUAUUAUGAAAGAUCAAACAGAUCAAAAAUAACAAUAUGAAAGAGCAGCUGGCGAUGUUGACGGCUCAUUUAGGAGGGGAUGUGCGCACUUUCACCACUAUGACUCCGGCACUAGAUGCACAACGUGAUGAUUAUGAUGAUAUUGAUGCUCAGUUACAUGGCGAUAAUUGAUAGGAUACAUAUUUUCUUUUCUUAUUUUCAUUUGUGAAUAUUAUUUGUUGUCUCAUACAUUUGUUAUUUUUCAUGA